rnacentral:rRNA from 1 species
AGAGUUUGAUCCUGGCUCAGGACGAACGCUGGCGGCGUGCCUAACACAUGCAAGUCGAACGGAAGUUAGAGCUUCGGUUUUAACUUUAGUGGCGAACGGGUGAGUAACGCGUGAGGAACCUGCCUUUCAGUGGGGGACAACAGUUGGAAACGACUGCUAAUACCGCAUGAUGCUUUUGGGAGACAUCUCCUGGAAGCCAAAGCUUUAUGUGCUGAAAGAUGGCCUCGCGUCUGAUUAGCUAGUUGGUGAGGUAACGGCUCACCAAGGCGACGAUCAGUAGCCGGUCUGAGAGGAUGAACGGCCACAUUGGGACUGAGAUACGGCCCAGACUCCUACGGGAGGCAGCAGUGGGGAAUAUUGGGCAAUGGGGGAAACCCCGACCCAGCAACGCCGCGUGAAGGAAGAAGGCCUUCGGGUUGUAAACUUCUUUUACCAGGGACGAAGGACGUGACGGUACCUGGAGAAAAAGCAACGGCUAACUACGUGCCAGCAGCCGCGGUAAUACGUAGGUUGCAAGCGUUGCCCGGAUUUACUGGGUGUAAAGGGCGUGUAGGCGGAGAUGCAAGUUGGGAGUGAAAUCCAUGGGCUCAACCCAUGAACUGCUCUCAAAACUGUAUCCCUUGAGUAUCGGAGAGGCAAGCGGAAUUCCUAGUGUAGCGGUGAAAUGCGUAGAUAUUAGGAGGAACAUCAGUGGCGAAGGCGGCUUACUGGGCUUUAACUGACGCUGAGGCUCGAAAGCGUGGGGAGCAAACAGGAUUAGAUACCCUGGUAGUCCACGCCGUAAACGAUGAUUACUAGGUGUGGGGGGACUGACCCCUUCCGUGCCGCAGCAAACGCGAUAAGUAAUCCACCUGGGGAGUACGACCGCAAGGUUGAAACUCAAAGGAAUUGACGGGGGCCCGCACAAGCAGUGGAGUAUGUGGAUUAAUUCGAAGCAACGCGAAGAACCUUACCAGGUCUUGACAUCGUAUGCAUAGCUCAGAGAUGAGUGAAAUCUCUUCGGAGACAUAUAGACAGGUGGUGCAUGGUUGUCGUCAGCUCGUGUCGUGAGAUGUUGGGUUAAGUCCCGCAACGAGCGCAACCCUUACUGUUAGUUGCUACGCAAGAGCACUCUAGCAGGACUGCCGUUGACAAAACGGAGGAAGGUGGGGAUGACGUCAAAUCAUCAUGCCCCUUACGACCUGGGCCUCACACGUACUACAAUGGCUGUCAACAGAGGGAAGCAAAGCCGCGAGGUGGAGCGAACCCCUAAAAGCAGUCUUAGUUCGGAUUGUAGGCUGCAACCCGCCUACAUGAAGUCGGAAUUGCUAGUAAUCGCAGAUCAGCAUGCUGCGGUGAAUACGUUCCCGGGCCUUGUACACACCGCCCGUCACGCCAUGGGAGUCGGUAACACCCGAAGCCUGUAGUCUAACCGCAAGGAGGACGCAGUCGAAGGUGGGAUUGAUGACUGGGGUGAAGUCGUAACAAGGUA